GACACCUGGCUGCAAUACCCAGCACUGUCUGCACAGCACAGUCAUAGGCACAAACUGAUAAAUUAAUUGUGCUAUUAAAAAUGGCCACCCGUAGCCAGGCGUGGUGGUGCACACCUGUAAUCCCAGAGGCUCAGGAGGCUCAGGCAAGGGGACAGUGAGUUCAAAGCCAGCAAUUUAGCGAGACCCUGUCUCAAGAACAAAAUAUAAAAAGGGCUGGGGAUGUGGCUCAAUGGUUGAGCAUCCCUGGGUUCAAUCCCUGGUACCAAAAACAACACCACCACCACCAACAACAAAACAAAACAAAAAAACAGCCCCAAACCAACCAACAAACCACCUGUGAACUUACAAAUUUAAAUCAGAAGCAAAAAUUAGGCCUGUGAGCUUAUCAAAUGCACCAGACCACUAAUGAAGUAGACCCCUCACCUGGAACACAUUAAAGGAGAAGCAUCCCAAGACUGUUUGUAGCAGCACACCUUGGCAUCAGGUGAACAAGUCACAAGUUCCCCUUGAAAGAGUCACAAGGUCACAAGGUCAAGUCUCCAAAAUUCUGGACUCUCCCUGGUCUUCAGCUUAGCUUGCUCUCCCUGCUUGAUGUGGCCCAUUUUGAAACCACAUGCUGUUUUGAAAUGCCUCUCACCUCCAGCUCUGCCACUGAACAAAUUCUUUGGUUGGUUCCUAACAUUAUCUGACCACCCGCAGUGAUUCUUUUGCAUUUGUGUCAGCUCUCCAGGGCUCUCCUCCUGAGCCCUGGUGCCACUUUAACCCCUCCUUAGCCUUUUCUUACUUUUAUCUAUUGUUGUAUGUGUGAUGUGUAACUUGAGUGUUACAGAUAUUAGCAAUUAAAAUUGGAAUAAGAGAACCUGUGAUUGCCUGGCUUGUGACUACCAAGUGACACAUGAGUACGUGGUGAACUGCAACCUAUGAAAGUGAUGUAGCUUGUGAAUGUGUUGUUAUUGAAUAAAUUCUGACAUGACAGACACAAACGUGUUGGGUCUAUGUUAGUGGCUUAGCUCGCUCAGAACAAUGCAGCUGAUCUUGGCAUUUACUUCAGCUCUUUAACUUACAUCCUAGUGAGUUAAAGAUGUCAGAUGUCCAACCCUGAUGCAAGCAGCUCUGGCCAGGUGGACUAACACAUCCCUUUAAAGGGUUUGUGUGAGAGGCAGUUCUAAGGAAGGGAAUUUGGGCCUAGCCCCUGGAGAUGGGGCCUUUAAGAACACCCCUCACUCCCUGUAUAAGCCCCAACAUGCCCCUCCCCUGAUGACAUCCUUCUUUACCUAAACAUGUUCUAUUCUAGAACUUCUUUAUGAACACACACACCUGCAAGAAAUACCCCAAGCUGAAUUAUUGUCGCUACGUGGCAGAUUGCUGGAUUUCUUGUGCCUUCCUCUUUCACUCCCUUCAAAUUGCUGCUUAGUUUUUCUAUUAAAUUACCUUGAAAUUUUGUGAGACCGAAACAGUUCCUGAAGUUUCUCUCAUUUAUAUGCUGCUGCCUCCUCUGUCCCAGCUUGCAGCUGGACUGGAAUCCGGUGUUGACAUCAUUGUGAAUGAUUUAUUGGUUUUUUUUUUUUUUUUUUGGUUCCUUUUAGGAUUCUCUGGGGCAUCUUCCUAGAAUUGCUGAGAAAACCUGUUGUGAGCAUGCUGUCAUUAACGUAGACCACACACGUUUGUGCCUUUCCAUAACAUUAAAUUCAUAACAGUAACUCACAGGCUAGACCACUCUCACCAGUGGCAGUUCACAGAAGACUUGUGGGUCACCUGGUAGUCUUAAGCCAGGCAAUCACAGGUUCUUUUUUUUUGGCAUUAGGGAUUGAAUCCAGGAGUACUUAACCACUGAGCCACAUCUCUAGCCCCCCCUUUUUUUUAAAAAAAAUAUAUUUUUAAAAUUGUCAAUGGGCCUUUAUUUAUUGAUACAUGGUGCUGAGAAUCGAACCC
rnacentral:lncRNA from 1 species